rnacentral:lncRNA from 1 species
AAAUACCUAAUAUAUGUCGGAAAAUGCUUCUAAGCAUUAUGAAAUAUUUCUAAUCCUGUCAAAAAGAACAUCCACAAACCCAAAGUCUUUCUAGACUCAAAUUCACAAAUCAUAUCUGUAUCAACAACAAAAGAAUAAAAAUAAGUACUGAACAAAUGUAGACAAUCAGUAAAGCCCAAUGACACCCAGAUUUUUCCAGCAAGAAAUUCCAAAUAAUAAACAGAUUGCUCAUCAAUAAAGAGUUUAAC